UACGGGGGGGGCAAGCGUUGUUCGGAAUUACUGGGCGUAAAGGGCUCGUAGGCGGCCAACUAAGUCGGACGUGAAAUCCCUCGGCUUAACCGGGGAACUGCGUCCGAUACUGGAUGGCUUGAGGUUGGGAGAGGGAUGCGGAAUUCCAGGUGUAGCGGUGAAAUGCGCAGAUAUCAGGAGGAACACCGGUGGCGAAGGCGGGUCUCUGGGCCGAUACUGACGCUGAGGAGCGAAAGCGUGGGGAGCGAACAGG
rnacentral:rRNA from 1 species